AGAGCACGGCGUGACGGCUGAAAAGAAACCAGAAAGGAGAGUAGAGGAAAACAAGGGAGUAAGAAAGAGAGAAAACCAGAGGGGAGGGGAACUUGGAGAGAAAAAAGAGAUCCGAAAGCUAGAGAGGGGGACGUUUGGAAGUCUGAAAAAAAAAAGGAGAAGCAAGGAACAGAAAGGAAAAAGCUUCCGGAAAAGAAGAGAGAAAAAGGAGGGCUGAGCGAAGAAGAAACCGAGAAUGUGAGAUGCAGAGACAGUGGUGACGGCGGAAGAUAUAGGAAAACAGAAAGGAAAAGAGGAGGAGCAAGGGGCAAAGGCUGAAUGGAGGAAUCUCACCACCACCUGCGGCUGUUCUUCGAGAGAAAAACUUCUGCUCAGAAGGUAGCACAGUAAGAUUCCUUCUACCCAUUUUCCCUAUAGAUAACUUCUGUUGAAGAAUUAUGAGACUAUGAGAAGUGGAUGGAUAUGUGUUGUCGUUUGGUUUGAGUAUGUGAAUACGGUCAAAGAAGUGUAAUAUUUGUUCCUUGUGUUGGUUCAUGGUCUGCUGCCAAAGGUGUUGCCUUUCUACGUUAGAUCUUCUCGGUUGAGUGUUCAGUAGUGAUUCAUAAGAGUGUAUGGAGAGUCAAGUCUUUGUUUACGGUUCUUGUUACCUGCUGCAACUUUGUCCAUUCGGUCUGGGGUAGGUUGUACGAAAUGCAUUGGCUGCUAAAUCUUUCAUUCCAGAUUUGCAUGUUUUAAUGAUUUUUAUAGGGCCGUGGGAAGGUCGCCUCUUGCUUUAGUUCUGAUUGUUUGGGAAUGGUGUUAGUGAAGUCUUGUGUAUGUGAGAAGAGUUAUGAUCAGCUCGAACCUGGUUGAAGCUUUGUUACUUGCCUUUUUGCUGCCCAAAGCUGUGCCUAUAACCUUCUUGAUAGAAAACCGAGAUAUAAAUCAUUUCUUCUGUGUGCACUUUUUUCUGAUUCAUGUGUUGUUUGAUUAGUUGUUCUGGAAUCUGGGUCGAGGUUUAGCAGAUGGUCAGGCCAUUUUUUGUUUCUGGUUCUUGCAUUCUAGAUGUAUUAAAUCAUUUUUGCUAUGAGCAACUAAAAGUUGCUGCAACAAGACUGGAACUCCUUGUUUGCCAACCGUAAUGUUGACAGAUUGGGGGUCCUUGGCUUGUUGCAGCAGCGUGGAAAGAUCCUUUCUUUUGGGUCGUUGAAGUGGUAGUUGAUUGGACUUUCUUGUUGUUGUUUGCUGCUUAUUUGAGAUAACAUGAACAAUACGUGCUAUGGAGGCUGCAUUUAGACAAACCAUUGCCUUGAAAACCAGGGGAAGUAAAACCAUAUGGCAUGUGCAGUUUUCUUGUUUGGGUUUGAUGCAUUGAGGAACUAGAGUGUCUUGUUCACAUGUAUAGUUUGUCUUGCUCCCUUGUGAUGAUCUCAGUGUUUGGUUGAAGAGUGGAAUGUUCUUGGUUGAAUGUUUAAUGGACCAUUGCAAGUAUCUGAUGAAAGCUUCUCGGCUGCAUUUUGUCUUUUUUUUCCUCCUUGCCUUCUUGGCCUGAAGUCUCUCCGUGAGAAUUAAACAAUCAUAUCUGGAUAUAGAAUUUGGGCAUUUAGGUAAUGUCGGCUGAACAAGUCUCGAGCAAACUUUAUGUAUUUGAAUCUGAAAUUCGAAUUUGGAAGCAAAAAUGUAGCAGGCCUUCACUUUAGGUUGCAGAAAACUUGCGGCACUUUUCCCUUUUUCCUCUAUUGCUGUUUUGCUGUUUGCUUAUAUCCUUGAUGAUCAGAUUCAUUUCCUUUGCUUCAAUCCUGCAAUAAAGUUGCAUGAACCCAGAAUUUGCAGAAGGCCGUGUCCUUCGGUUUCUUUUGUGCAUGAUCUGGAAAAAAAAAAAUCUUUGGGGAAUGCAUAGUAUAUAGUUGUUUUCUGAUGAUAAGAUGCAUGAAGUAUUGUUUUGGGCUCAAAGGAUUGUUGUUGUUGGGACUUUAUCAUUUGCGUUCUGAUAUGGAAGUCAUAGCAGCGGAAAUUGCAGAAACCAGCAAUGAUAAAGAAAGCAUUCUUCGUAGUUUUGCAUGAAAACUUGCAUGAAAAUGUUCUAAGAACUGCAGUCUAGUCCCUUGUUUCUUGGAUAACUCAACUAGGACCCAAUCAAUUGAAUAAUUUCAUCAAUUUGGUCCUUGGCUGCUUUGAUUUUUUUUGCAACUUCAUUGCUUGCUUGCUUCAAUUAACUACCAUGCUUUGUCUAAAUUGCACUUAAUUCAUGAUUUUAAGAGCUUUAUGGUCAAGAGAGUUUGUAUUUGCAUAUUUUCUUUAAUUGUUUCAAAUUAAAUUGGUGCCUUGACCUUUUCUUUAUUUUUGGAGGGUAAAUAAGUUAUUUCACCCCAUUAGAGCUCCAACUCAAGGGAGGUACACCUUAUCCUUUAUUUUUCCCUUUAUUUGACCCUACGUACGUAUAUGUGUCUUAUGUGUGCAAUUGCAUGACUUUAAGUGUUUAUUUUAUUUGUACUUUAUUUAUUUCUUUUGUUGCUUAGUUUUGCUUUAAUUUUGGUUCAAUUUUAUCAUUUGGGAAGCACUCGAAUGCCAAAAUUGUAAUAGUUAGGGAUUUAAUUAUUUUAUUUAUUUUCAUUUCCCCUCUUAGAUUGUAGUAGGCUUCCUCCCGAAUGUAAUAGUUAGGGUCUUAAUUGCUUUAUGUGUUUUGCAUGUCUACGUGCUAUGUGUUUAAUUGCUUCCUUAGGGUUUGGCAUCUAGAUAUGCAUGCUUAUGUGUUAUGUGCUAUGUGAAUUACGUGCUCAUAUGCCUACUCGCUUUAAUUACGCACAUUUACUUAUGUAUGUAUGAUGGAUGCAAAUGCACGUAAUCGUGGCUAGUCCAAUGCUAGUCAUGAUUGUCCCCCCGAGCUCUUGCAAGUCCAAUGCUUGUGAGAGAGCGUUAGUGAAGGACUAGUCCAACGCUAGACCAUUAGGGGCCUUUCGCGCGUUAGAUCAUGAUUGCAUGAUAAAAACACUUCAUUUCAUGCAUAUUUUCACUUUUAGGGCCUUUUAUCAUUUUGUAUGACAUUCCCCUUAUACGUAUAACCCUUAUCCCUAAUUUCCCUAUACACAUAAUAUACCCCUAUGCAUGAUACAUGACAUUAGAAUUGCAUUUCAUUCUAGAAAUAGGAUUAGGGUAGUGCAUUUGCUUGAUUAGAUUAGGGAGCCCCUUAGAUAUGGGAUAUGGACGAGUUUGGCUUUUCUAGCCUUAACACUCUCGUAUUCCCUCUAUUAAAGGGAAAACUGAGUCACGAACAUUAGUCCCCCGUACCCGACAUGAUGCAUUCCUUUAAAACAUGUAUAUUUCUAUAAUUAUUUUAUCAUUUUCCUCUUCUUAGAGUCUCAUAUUUUUUGCAUUAUUCGUGACCUCUCCAAAGGGCCAUUAUUGGGCGUCACAAUUAAUGUGAUUGGUACCAUUCAAGUUUUGAAGAGAAAUUUUGCCCCCCGACACCCUCCUAGGUCUAGGGUUGCAUUCAUAUAGUACGUCCAAAUGUGAUAAAUGCUUUGGUUAAAACAAGAAAAUCUUUGACUGAAUCGCGCAACUAGUCUUGGCUAGGUCGAAAGGGUGCCUUGGAUUUCUAUCCUUGCCUUCCCCUUCGUCAAAUGUGACUCCCGAAAUCUUUUCUUUGAUUUUCGUAGACUAGGAGUCAUUUAAAAGGGGUUUUUUCUAAUUUUUUCUUUUGAUAACUCAUUUUAGGUGACUUGGUACACCUUAACUCUAUACCAAAUGGCGACUCCGAUUUUUAUUUCAAAAACCCUUUUUAAACUAUAUUUUGGGUCAAAUCGUCGCAUUUUCAAGUCCCAUUUAGACCCACUUUCUUUGUAAAUCAAAAUUCAUCUUUCAAAUAAAAAAUUUUCACUUUUUAAACCAUUCAUUUAUAUUUAUUUAAUUUUCUUGUAAAAAAUGGGACGCGACAGCUGGCGACUCCACUGGGGACUUAGAGAGUCCGAGCAUUUGAUUUAGUCAAUUAUUUUCUUCUCUUAACCUUCUCAUAUAUCGCAUUUGGAUGGUUAGGGUUGUAUUUUUCCUUUUUUAGGAUUUUUGCAUUUCGUGCGUAUCAACUCACUCACUCACCCAUUUGGCGUACGAUUAUUUUAAUGGAUGGAUGGUUUAUGUAUGUGAUUCCGCGCUUUGCAUUGCAUUUGGGGAUGGGGGGAUAUUACCCUAGAGCCUCGCGUUGGUUCUUGAUCCCUCCCCUCCAAACGAGCACUAGCAUACGUGCAUACGCUUUAAUUUUUUACCCCUCAUUUAUUUUUCUUUUAGUGGCUUGUCACGCCACUCCACCCUAUUUGGAUUAGGCGACCCACUUGGACGUGUGAUCGUGACACGACGUGUGCGUAGCACGAUCCGAGGGGUCACUCAAUCUUCCGCUUUAAGCUUUGGGUUAAUAGCCUUUAGCUUUUGGUUGAAGGUUGAGUAUUUUUGAUAGAUUCGCUCAGACAUGUAGCCGUAACAUGACGUGUGCGUAGCAAUGUCUGGGGAAUCGCUCGAGCCACCGACAAAGAACCUUGGGAUUGAUGACCCUUGGUUUCCAAGUCUGAAGGCUCGGGGACCUAAAACCUAUCGAGUCUAGAUGCAUUAGUGAGCCAAUACCUCAUGCAUCCAUGAUAGCUUGCCUAGGGUAGAGUCUGUCUUGCCUUAUUAGGGACACUAUUCACGAGGGGAGGGAUCCAACCCCUUUUCCUUUUUAUUGCUUUAUUUCUUUGCAUUGAUUUUAUUGCUUUAUCUCGUUGCUACAAUGUGUUAUGUGUAUUUAUCUGGCUGCACUAACUUUUCUUGGUUUUGUUCCCAUUGCAUUCACAAACCCUAGCAAAUAAGAGGUCUGGCAUGACCUUCUUUUAGAACCUACCCUUGUAGAUAGGCUAUUGCACGUUUAAAGAUUUUGGUAUAUUGCAUUCAUAGAUUAAUAAUUGCAUAUCAUUCUAGGCCUACCUUGGCGUAUAAAGGGUCCUUUUAGGUCAUGAUAUCAUUUAAAUUGUAUGUUUCAUCGCUUUAAUAAACUGGCAUCAUGCAUAAACCCUAGAAGGGGAAUGCUAUUUAGGGGAUCUCGUGUUAGGAAUAAACCACCUUGUGUUUCGGAUACUUAAUCCAAGGAGACUUGCACGUUUACAUUUUGUACCAUCCAAAGGGGUAGUGCACAAGGUAAGGUAGGAUCCGAUCAUUUUCAUAGAGCGAUCUUUGGAAUAUGAGCGUCUAAUAAUCACUUUUUGGCCACUUUAUCAAAAUUGGUAAGAAUCCCUGGUGUAAAGGACAUUAAUUGGAACAAAUUCACCAAUAUUUCCUCACUGUUGAGACGAUAAAUCAAUUGAGGCCAAAAUUUGAUAUUAGAAGGCUCAUAGACUAAUGCAUCGCAAUAAGUUGUUUGAAAUUACCAGUGGAUAGAUUGAUUUUUAAAUAAGCUGUCAAUUCUAUUCAAUCCACUGGACUAUUUUAUUCACCAAUUGCAUCCAGUCCAUUUUAUCAAUUUGUUCAUUUUUAGGGCAAGCUAGUCGAUUUUGAAUUCAUUUGACAAGUUUACCCAUUUUAGGGCAAUCUAGCCGAUUUUGAAUAGACCACCAAUUUCAUUUAAUUCAUUUGAUUAGUUUACCCAUUCUUAGGUCAAUUCAAUCAAUUUUGAAUAAAUCAUCAGUUUCGUUCAAUUUCAUUUGACCAGUUUACCCUUUUUAGGGUGAUCUAGUCAAUUUUGAAUAAAUCAUCCGAUCCAUUUGACCAGUUUACCUAUUUUUAGGGUAAUUCGGUCGAUUUUGAAUAAAUCAUCAUUUCACUUAAUCAAUUGAUUUCAUUCCCUUUAUUUGAUUAGUUUAAUUCAUUUUUGGGUUAUCCAUUCAAUUUUGAAUAAAUAAUCAAAUUUCAUGCAAUGCAUUUGACCCUUUUACCCUUUUAAGGUAGUCUAGUCAAUUUUGAAUAAAUUAUCAAUUUCAUCCUAUCCUCUUGAUCCGCAUAUUCCUUUUUAGGGUUUAAAUCUAAAAUUCACUGAAUAAAUUAGCUGAGGCAUUGCAAUCCUUUUAAGAGUAGGCUCUCUUUCACAUAUCAUGUGUUGAUCAAAGUAAACAAUCUAUUCGGACUUUGUCCUCAAUUUUUUAGGACGAAUGUUUCUUCUCACUCCAAAUUGGCCAAAUUUUUUCAAAUCAUUUUUCACUCAAUCAGUUGAUCGGAUUCAUCAGAUAUUGUAUGGUGCCUACUCUAGAGGAUUGCAUUUUCAUGUUAGGCCUACCCUUGGCAUAAAAGGGCUCCCCCAUACGACAUGCAUACCGAUUUUACAAUUUUGCUUACUAACUCUGGGUAUUUUUCUUUUAUUUUUCCCCCUCCCCCCUGCAUUCAUAAAAAUAUUUCAAUAAGGUGAAAAUAUCUUUCUAUAUCUGAUAACAAUUUUGAUCUGAUAAAGUUUGAAAAUUACAAGUAUUACUUGAUUCUUAGGCAGGCCUUACAAUGUGAAUUCAAAAAUUCAUUUGAAAGCGCUCGUGCAAAACAUCUAAGGGAUUUCAUUGCUCAAAGAAAAAGGGGAUAUUAAGAGAGAAAAUGUGUAUACAUGUGCAAAGGAGUUUUGUAGAAUUUUUCUCAUAUGUAUUGCUUUAAAAUUUUUCAAAACAUUGGCAUUAAUGAAGCUUUUAUUCAGACAAUUAUUGUUUUGUAGGUAUAUUCAUGUACAUUUCAUUGUUUAUUUUUGCUCAUUG
rnacentral:lncRNA from 1 species